UCUUGCCAUUUAAGGCAUAUUAUUCUGUGCAGAUAAAAUUAAGUUUUUCUUUAACCCUGUCAUGGACUGCAUUAAUAUCACAAGUAUGCUGGAGCUGAGCAUGAGGGUAUCCAUCCAGCUGUACUGUAAAACCAUUGCUGCAGUACUCCUGGAAAUGGUUCAGGAUGCCUAGAGACAAAUGAUAUGGAAAAAGGCCUCCAUGACAGGUCCCUACUGGCACUGACUGUACAAGCAGGAGGACACCUAGGCAGAAGGCGAGGGCAGAGCUCCAUCCUCCCUGCACUUCCAGCGUGAGCCCUGUCCUGGGACCCAGAGAGCUUUGGGAACAAAGCCCCUGGAUUCUGAAGGUACUUUGCAGUAGAAGU